CCGGCGCGCCUAACGUGCCGCGGCGGGGACUGUACUGCGGAUAACUGUGGGACUGAGGCGACGAGUUCCCAGUUUCCCGCGGAUCCUGGACUGACGCCCCGUCUCGGUCACAGCUGCCUGCCCCCUCUCCCUUCCCUGAGAGACCCCCCCCCCUCUUGCGCACACACACCUUAAACCCGCGUGCAGGGUCCGACAUGAUGGACCGCGAACCUUAUGAACCCUCGGCCGGCGUCGUCUCGGUUCCACGCCAGCCGCCCAGCGAGCAUUCUGGGUCUGGUCCUCAGGGUCCCAGCAUGGGGGGCGACUCAGGAGCCUUAAAAAGACAUUUUCCCCUCUAAUCCCAACCAUGAAGUUGUAAUAACACUGAUAUACUGUAUGUCUGUUUAUGUUCCACGGACCUUUGGAGGGCCAGAAACCUUUUUUUUUUUCUUUUUUUUUAAUAUCUAGGGUUUUUUGCCCUCUCCCUACUCUGCAGGAAUCCAUUUUCACUCCUUUGGGGGCAGUGUUGUCCUCAUGCAUGUCCCAGCGUAACACAAGUGACAAAACAAGUGUUGAAAGAAUUCCAGUAUGAACAAAGUUAUUAUAGAUGGAAUAAAUUCAUUUAUUCAAUAACUAUUAA